GACGAACGCUGGCGGCGUGCCUAAUACAUGCAAGUCGAGCGCAGGAAACUGACGGAACUCUUCGGAGGGAAGGCAGUGGAAUGAGCGGCGGACGGGUGAGUAACACGUAAGGAACCUGCCUCAAGGAUUGGGAUAACUCCGAGAAAUCGGAGCUAAUACCGGAUAGUUCAACGGACCGCAUGGUCCGCUGAUGAAAGGCGCUCCGGCGUCACCUUGAGAUGGCCUUGCGGUGCAUUAGCUAGUUGGUGGGGUAACGGCCCACCAAGGCGACGAUGCAUAGCCGACCUGAGAGGGUGAUCGGCCACACUGGGACUGGGACACGGCCCAGACUCCUACGGGAGGCAGCAGUAGGGAAUCUUCCACAAUGGACGAAAGUCUGAUGGAGCAACGCCGCGUGAGUGAUGAAGGUUUUCGGAUCGUAAAACUCUGUUGUAAGGGAAGAACACGUACGAGAGGGAAUGCUCGUACCUUGACGGUACCUUACGAGAAAGCCACGGCUGACUACGUGCCAGCAGCCGCAGUAACAC
rnacentral:rRNA from 1 species